rnacentral:rRNA from 1 species
ACGGGUGAGUAAUGUCUGGGAAACUGCCCGAUGGAGGGGGAUAACUACUGGAAACGGUAGCUAAUACCGCAUAACGUCGCAAGACCAAAGAGGGGGACCUUCGGGCCUCUUGCCAUCGGAUGUGCCCAGAUGGGAUUAGCUUGUUGGUGAGGUAAUGGCUCACCAAGGCGACGAUCCCUAGCUGGUCUGAGAGGAUGACCAGCCACACUGGAACUGAGACACGGUCCAGACUCCUACGGGAGGCAGCGGUGGGGAAUAUUGCACAAUGGGCGCAAGCCUGAUGCAGCCAUGCCGCGUGUGUGAAGAAGGCCUUCGGGUUGUAAAGCACUUUCAGCGGGGAGGAAGGCGAUACGGUUAAUAACCGUGUCGAUUGACGUUACCCGCAGAAGAAGCACCGGCUAACUCCGUGCCAGCAGCCGCGGUAAUACGGAGGGUGCAAGCGUUAAUCGGAAUUACUGGGCGUAAAGCGCACGCAGGCGGUCUGUCAAGUCGGAUGUGAAAUCCCCGGGCUCAACCUGGGAACUGCAUUCGAAACUGGCAGGCUUGAGUCUUGUAGAGGGGGGUAGAAUUCCAGGUGUA